rnacentral:rRNA from 1 species
UACGUAGGUGGCAAGCGUUGUCCGGAUUUACUGGGCGUAAAGAGCUCGUAGGCGGUUCAGUAAGUCGGGUGUGAAACCUCCAGGCUCAACCUGGAGACGCCACCCGAUACUGCUGUGACUAGAGUCCAGUAGGGGAGCGUGGAAUUCCUGGUGUAGCGGUGAAAUGCGCAGAUAUCAGGAGGAACACCAGCGGCGAAGGCGGCGCUCUGGGCUGGAACUGACGCUGAGGAGCGAAAGCGUGGGGAGCGAACAGG